GUUAGGAAUAUUGGACAAUGGGCGCAAGCCUGAUCCAGCCAUGCCGCGUGAGUGAUGAAGGCCUUCGGGUUGUAAAGCUCUUUAGUCCACGAAUAUAAUGACUGUAGUGGAAGAAUAAGCCCCGGCUAACUUCGUGCCAGCAGCCGCGGUAAUACGAAGGGGGCGAGCGUUAUUCGGAAUCACUGGGCGUAAAGCGUGCGUAGGCUGUUUUGUAAGUCAGAAGUGAAAGCCCAGGGCUUAACCCUGGAAUUGCUUUUGAAACUACAAGACUCGAAUUCGGGAGAGGAUAGCGGAAUUGUCAGUGUAGCAGUGAAAUGCGUAGAUAUUGACAGGAACACCAGUGGCGCAAGCGGCUAUCUGGACCAAUAUUGACGCUGAGGCACGAAAGCGUGGGGAGCAAACAGGAUUAGAAACCCGAGUUCC
rnacentral:rRNA from 1 species